GGGCGCUGAAGAAGGUGGUGCAACUGGGAGCUCAGAAAUGUCUGUCCCAUCUAGAGCAUCAGGAGUGGAGCAGGUAGAGCCUGACAACCUUGGAAUGCCAGCAGCUUGUCCUAGCGAAGUCAAAUGAAGGGACAGUGAUCUCAGAAAAUCUCAAGGGGCAUUUGUCAAUGCCAUGGUAAGUUUCCAGGGGCAUUC
rnacentral:lncRNA from 1 species